rnacentral:rRNA from 1 species
CCUACGGGAGGCAGCAGUAGGGAAUAUUGGUCAAUGGGUGAGAGCCUGAACCAGCCAUGCCGCGUGCAGGAAGACGGCCUUCUGGGUUGUAAACUGCUUUUAUCGGGGGAUAAAAAAGCCUUGCGAGGCAAAUUGAAGGUACCCGAUGAAUAAGCCACGGCUAACUACGUGCCAGCAGCCGCGGUAAUACGUAGGUGGCGAGCGUUGUCCGGAUUUAUUGGGUUUAAAGGGUGCGUAGGCGGCGCUUUAAGUCAGUGCUGAAAUAUCCCGGCUUAACCGGGAGGGUGGCAUUGAUACUGGAGUGCUUGAGUGAAGUCGAGGUAGGCGGAAUUGACGGUGUAGCGGUGAAAUGCUUAGAUAUCGUCAAGAACACCGAUAGUGUAGACAGCUUACUAGGCUUUAACUGACGCUGAGGCACGAAAGUGUGGGGAUCAAACAGG